rnacentral:rRNA from 1 species
CCAAAGUAUUGUUAAGGAACUCGGCAAAAUGACCCCGUAACUUCGGGAGAAGGGGUGCCUGCGAGAGCAGGCCGCAGAGAAGAGGCCCAAGCAACUGUUUAGCAAAAACACAGCUCUAUGCAAAACCGAAAGGUGAGGUAUAUGGGCUGACGCCUGCCCGGUGCUGGAAGGUUAAGGGGAGUGGUCAGGAAACGAAGCCACGAACUUAAGCCCCAGUAAACGGCGGCCGUAACAAUAACGGUCCUAAGGUAGCGAAAUUCCUUGUCGGGUAAGUUCCGACCCGCACGAAAGGCGUAAUGAUUUGGGCGCUGUCUCGACAAUACAUCCGGUGAAAUUGAAGUGCCAGUGAAGAUGCUGGCUACCUGCGCCAGGACGGAAAGACCCCAUGGAGCUUUACUCCGGCUUGAUACUGGGACCCGGUAUUGCAUGUACAGGAUAGGUGGGAGGCAAGGAAAUGUGGACGCCAGUCUGCAUGGAGCCGCCGUUGGGAUACCACCCUUGUGGUGCUGGGUUUCUAACCAGAGGCCGUGAACCGGUCUGGGGACAAUGUCAGGUGGGGAGUUUGACUGGGGCGGUCGCCUCCGAAAGGGUAUCGGAGGCGCCCAAAGGUUCCCUCAGAACGGUUGGAAACCAUUCGAAGAGUGCAAAGGCAGAAGGGAGCUUGACUGCGACACCGACGGGUGGAGCAGGUACGAAAGUAGGGCUUAGUGAUCCGGUGGAAUUUAAGUGGGAAUGCCAUCGCUCAACGGAUAAAAGCUACCCUGGGAUAACAGGCUGAUCACUCCCAAGAGUUCACAUCGACGGAGUGGUUUGGCACCUCGAUGUCGGCUCAUCGCAUCCUGGGGCUGAAGUCGGUCCCAAGGGUUGGGCUGUUCGCCCAUUAAAGCGGUACGCGAGCUGGGUUCAGAACGUCGUGAGACAGUUCGGUCCCUAUCCGGCGUGGGCGUAGGAUAUCUGAGAGGAGCUGUCCUUAGUACGAGAGGACCGGGAUGGACUGACCUCUGGUGUACCGGUUGGCGAUCAACGCCACGGCCGGGUAGCCAUGUCGGGACGGGAUAAACGCUGAAGGCAUCUAAGCGUGAAGCCCCCCUCAAGAUGAGAUAUCCCAUCGUAAGAGUAAGACCCCUUGAAGACGACGAGGUUGAUAGGGCAGGGGUGGAAGUGCCGUAAGGCAUGGAGCUGACUGCUACUAAUCGGUCGAGGGCUUGACCU